CUCUAGGCAUGCUAUUAAUGUUUGAUUUAGAUUAUACAGCUUUUACGUUUGCCAUAUAUCUUUCUUAAAAAAAAAACUUAAAAGGGCUACCUAUCCAGCCCUUUCCUGGACACAGUUCCUUGAAGGAUUAUGGAGCCUCAUAUAGUCUCAGAGAAUUUCCUCUUCUGGAGUCUAAUUUUGCUCUUUACCUGAUCCUGCCAAACUGAGAAAAUAAACAUGAGUUGUUUCUUCCAUACGGAAUAACUCUCAAAACCACUCUAGUUCUUAACAAAGAGGCAAAAAUAGCAGUGUUUGAAGUUUUUCUGGUAAAAGCUUUCUUCUUAUACAAAUAAUCCUUCCCAGUUGUAUAGCACUUUAUACUUUUAAAAAUACUUUCAGAUGCAUUACCUUAUUUGAAUUUCAGUGAAUUCUAGCCAUAAAAGGAAUUUUCUAUAUUAUGGGUUUUUAUGUACUGCUUUUUCUGCUAUCAAAACCAAUAAAAUGUUUGACAUGGAUAAUUGGUUUCUUAAAACCUCAAUACUCUCAACCUUUCACUGUUUUCUCUUUAGUUUUCCCCUUUCUCUAUUUAUAACUAGAGAGCAUUUUAUGCUAUUGCUCAGUUUUCUUGAUUCUGCCAAAAUUACUCAGCUGAGUAACAUCCCAAGACCUAGAAAAAGUUUCCGUGGUGAUAAAUAUCUGGCCUUCUAUGUUAAAGCUGUCCUGGUCAUUCACUGGUAGUUGGAGAUUAACUGUGGGCUGAAGCUGUGGAAGGCCAUUAGGGGCUAUCAACCACUUUAAAAGCCAGACUAAGGCUUGGAUUCAAACCCUGGAUUUAUCAUUUUUUUUUAAUUAUUAUUAUUAUUUUUUAAUAUUUACUUUUUUUUUUUUAGUUUUCAGCGGACACAACAUCUUUGUUUGUAUGUGGUGCUGAGAAUCGAACCCGGGCCGCACGCAUGCCAGGCGAGCAUGCUACCGCUUGAGCCACAUCCCCAGCCCCUGGAUUUAUCAUUUAAUAGCUAUGUGGUGUCCUCUGUAAAUGAUGACAUCCACUUGUCCUCACUUGUAAAGUUUCUAGGUGCAGGAGAGUUCCUGUCUUACAGUGGGCAUUGAAUGAGUUUUAUGUCUCACAGAAGGAAGACUGUUGAAGAGAAGAGUCACCCACAGUUUAGGAGAUAAGGACUGGACUAUAUCUUCUUGAUGGAAGUAGAAAUGGGAACUUCUUAAACUCUGGGGCCCUUGUAUGCCCUGCUAAACUCUGACCAGCCACCACACCUGCCAAAACCAGACAACCUUCUGAAAAUAAAAUAGACAACACACUUGGGCUAGUCAUAAGGCACCUGCACACCAAAAAUCCCAAGUUAUCCUCAGCUGUGCACAGCAGAUGGCCCCAAUUAGCCCCAGAAUUAUGCAACAGCAAACCCAAACAUUGCUAGCCAAUUAACAUCACUCAGGCAUUUUACUUUCCUAAAAUAUGGGAUAGAGAGUUUUGAGUGCUUUGGCUUAUAGAAAACAAAAACAAAAACCAUACCCCUUUUCUGUAAACCUCACUGGAGAGUGUUUUCUAGACCUUUACCUAUUUCUGAGCUAGGUUCUCCACUUGGCAAUAAAGCUUUUCCACUCAGUCUCAAUCUUAGGUCUCUAAUACUCAUUAUUUUUCUUUAACAGCAAACAGAAAGAAGUCAUUUCUUAGUCUUGGCAGAAGACAUGGCAAUUAUUCCCCUAUGGGAGAAAAUAAAAGAAAGCCCCAGUGAACUUGCCAUGAUAGCUAUUGAUGCUUUGCAUAAAAGAGAACAAAACUAUAAGAACAGUCACAAGGUUGGAAUAAGUUGCUUCAACAGGACAAUCAAUCUCUCUGACUAGCCUGAUUCAGUGUCAGAGAAGCUAUACUGAGUAUUUACAUUGGCCAAAACUGCAUUAGAAGCCAAAAAAAUGAAAAUGAGUAAAACAUGGUCCAUAUCCUAAGGGCUUCAACACCUCAUGGGAGCUGGGCAUGGUGGUGCACACCUCUAGAAUCCCAGUGAUCCUAGAGGUUGAGGCAGGAGGAUUGCAAGUUCGAGGCCAAUUUGGUGACUUUGUGAGAACUUGUCUCAAAAUAAAAUAUAAAAAGGGCUGAAGGAAUAGCUCAGUGGGUAGGGUGCCCUUGGGUUCAAUCUCCAGUACUGUCAGAAUAAACAACAACAACAACAAAAAUGCCUAAAGGGAAAAGAUAAACACAUAAUGUAACACAUCAUGAUAUUGGUUGAUACUGAAAAAGACCCAAAAUGAAAAGUACUCCGGAGGAGUACUCUGGUGAGUGGUCAAUUCUAACUGUGGAAUAAAAGAGAAGACUUCACACAGGGGAAAUACUGAUGUUAAUUAGGACCUUCAUGUUGGUUCUAGCAAGUAGUUAUUAUGUGAAAAUGAAACAAAUUAUGGAGUUUACUGACAAUUCAAAUUUAUCCUAAUUCUUCUAUUUUUAUUAAUCUUUUAAAUUUGUACAUAAAUAUUUAUUUCACAAAUAUGUAUUUAUAUAUGUUAUCUAUACCCAGGUUUAUGGAUGUGUGUGAAUUUAUGUAUAUAUAAAAUAAAUUUAUGUAUUCAUAUAUGUAUAUGAAAUACUAUGCUUUUGUAACUUGUUUCUGCUUCUCUGGUAUAGGUUCAAGUGCUUAAAUGCUUGAAGCUGUUUUUUCUGCUAUGUAUUGUAGAUACGCAUGGUGAUUUCUUUUGCAUAAACUAAAACUUGGAUCACUCUCCAUUAUACACUCAUGAACUGUAUAAUGUCAUUUUGGUCAACAAUAGGCUGUAUAUGAUGGUGGCUAUUCCAUAGCCUAUCUGUGUAUAGGAUACACCAGCUAAGUUUGUGUAAGUAUAUUCUACGAUGUUUGCACAAUGACAAAAUUACCUGCUGACAAACAUAUUCCUAUUUUUAAGUGACUACAUAUAUUUGUAUAUGCAUGUAUACUUCCUUUUACAUGAAUUCUAAUACUACCUUCCUUUCUUCUUUUGCAAGACUUCCAUCUUCAUUUUCCACUCUGUAUUUUCUUUAUCAUGCUUGUCUUAUAGUUUGCCUGCAUCAACCAUUUUGAGACUUGGCAACGUGCACCAGGAUCCCUGGAAAAGAGAGCACUGGAGAGGCCCAGAGUUGUAAUCUUUCAUAUAACCCUGCUCCUACUUUUAAGUCUUCAUGCAGUUCAGCAACUUGCAAAUAGGUUUGCACUUUGAAAAGUGCUUCUGUCUUUACUGAACAGAGGUGGUUUAUGUGUAGCAUUGCUCUCUUGUUAGCCCUUAGGAGCAUUUUUGUUUAAUAAUAUAUUUGCUGGAGCUCUCUGCUUCAACCUUUCUAAUGUUGUCCCUUCUUCAACUGUCUCUGGGUCAAGAUGAUCCAAAAAGAAAGGAUUUAUCCUGUUCCCUUUACUUUACCAGGAAGAAAGUUCCAAGUAAUGUCACCUGAAAAGGUUCCCUGAUUAGGACAAAGACUAUUUUCUGCACUAUUCCAGGAAGCACCCUUCCCAGCUACUGAGAUUAAGUCACAGAAAUUUACUUAUUCAUCAUUACAAGCCCACUCUUGAGUAGUGGAGCAGCCCUGUUGGAAGCUUGCCUCAAGUCCCUUCUAUUAUAUAGGCCACAAAAGCACUUUUCAAACUGUAAUGCAUCAUACAAGUACAGGAUAUUAUUGCAAUUAUAAUAGAAACGGCAACCCAUUAAUAAGCAAGUCUUCCCAGGGUGUGGUGGUGCAUGCCUGCAGUUCCAGCUACUGAGGAGGCUAAGGUAGGAGAAUGGUUUGAGUGCAUGAUUUCAAGACAAGCCUGGGAAACAUGGUAAGACCCCCAUCUUAAAAAAAAAAAAAAAAAUUGAAGAAUAAGUCUUUGUGCACAGGUCACAUCCAUCCCUUUUUCCUUUAGCACCAUAUAUAUGAAUGACUCUGGGCCUAAUUUAUUCUAGGUACAUAUGUGUUUUGAUUAUCAUCUAGCAUUUAUAUCAUUUAUAAAUAUCUUCAGAUUUAAAGGGGAAAAAAAUCCCGUGAACAGAUUUGCCUACCUACCUCUGUAGAGCUAAAACAUACACUAGUAAUUUACAAGAAAUAAGAACUAAUUCUGUCAAAUCAACUGGCUCCUAAAGGUAAUUUCCAAAUCCUCCAUGUUUACCUUUUCUCCUUUAAAUUUUCAUAUUCUAAUUUUUCCUUGUCAUCCCCUUCCCAUUUAGGCUGAAAAUACUUGUUAUUCUUAUGGCAGUAUAAGGCAUAUGACACAAUAUCAAAUGGUAAUAUUCACUAAUUAAUGGAAUUAUAUCAAUGAAACUGUUGAAUUUUAAGUGUGGCAUACCAAAUUGCUAUUAAUUAAUUAAUUAAUUAAUUGCUAUGAUUAAAACAAAGUAAACAUCGUAUAUGUACUCCCCAGCGCCCCCCCCCACCGUGUGUGUGUGUGUGUGUGUGUGUGUGUGUGUGUGUGUGUGGAGUUGGGGGGCAGAUACAAUUGAGAAGGAAUAUACAGAAACAAAAGAAUUAUUAUACAGCAAUAUAGGAAUUAUCAGUGACUUAAAAAAAAUCCCUUGUAAAAAAAUUUAAGUCUGGCUGGGAAUGUAGCUCAAUAUAAAGCACUUGCCUAGCACAAGUGAGGCCUUGGGUUCCAUCCCCAGUACAGCCCCCACCUCAAAAAUAAAGUCUAUUUAAUAAGAAAGAAAAUGGAUGCCUUUGGGUUUAUAUGUUUAUGCCACUGAGCUUCCUUCCCUCUGCCUCCCAUCUUCUACCUUUGCACUUUCUUUUGUGAUUCUUGCCCCUCCCCUCACCAAGUGUUUGAAUGUAAGAAGCCAUCUGCUUCUGUUAUUUAUCCUGACCACACAUUCUGCAUAAGCGACAAGUGGGGUCAGUAUCCAAAUCCUGGUUGCUUCUUCCUGUGUGUUUCUUCUCUGAAGUGUGAUCUGCACAGUUAAGCACUGUAGAUGAGCCUUGAGUCACAUUCCCUGAUUGUCUCCUUCAAGCUCCCUCAUCAGUGUGACAAGGAAACUGAAAGACAAUAUCCUUCUCACCUUCAGCCUUUCACUUAUUUGCACAGAUGGCCCAAUCUGAAAUCCGUCCUGGGGCAGAAUUAAAAACAGUUUUCCUAAUCCCUUUCUUUGGUGUGUCCCCUAAUUCCCCUUUAACCACAAAAUUAUUCUCUUUGCCCCUUUACAGUAUACUUUGUGCCUUGUGAGUCAUGCUUCAGGAAAUUUUUUUUGCUUGCUUUGCAGUAAGCUUAAAAAACCCAAGAAUUUAAAAAUAUUAGUGCUUCUCAAUUCCCAAUGGCUUCCAUUUUAGUUUUGAAAAUGCCAUUGUUAAUAUAUCAUGUUUAUGUAGGCAAAAGUAUGCCAAAAUAUAAAAUCUUGUGAUAGAACGAUAACUACUGAGUUAACAAGGGAGGCUAUAAUAUAAUGAUAAACAUUGCAAUAAAAGAAAGUCUGUAAUAUACUAGGUGUUAAUGGAUUAAAAAUAUUUAAGAGGAGCAAAUAUGUUAUAAUAAUAAGAAUUUAAAAAGUUGAGUGAUCUGUGGAUAUGUGUUCCUUUGUCAAUUUCUACUGUUUGUAUGCCUGUGUUUUUUCACAAUUUUUAAAAGAUUUCAUUGUUAAAAUUUCCUAUUGCGUUUUGCUGACCAUUUGAACUAUUUUACAUAUACUAUUGAAAUCUUGCAGAAAAAUAGCAAUGAGAUAAGUUUGAAAGUGAAAGGAGAGAGAAUCUUUACAAAGUGGGGAGUUGUGGGAGACAAGUUGCAGUUAACAGAACAGUUAAAUUAAACAAAGGUAGAUAAAUUACAGAAGUUACAAAGAAGAACUAAAGUGAGUUACCUAAACAAUAGAGGAACUAAAAGUGAGACACCCAUCCUGGGAGGGAGGAGGGUGUAAGUGAACUAAGCUCUCAUCUAACAGAAUAGGAAGGAAGUCCACAGAUCAGAUAAAGUCUGAUAAAUAAAGAAGUGGCAAUAUGACUGUAUUAUUUAGAGAUAGGGAAGUAACCACCCAGAAGAAUUUUUUAAAAUGUAACUGUUAAAAAGUUAGACUUUCUCUAGAGUUUUAGUGGAAGGCAAAAUGAUGUUGUAGAAACAAGACAUAGCAGCAAAGCAUCCUUACAUUCCACAAUAAACUCUUCAACCUGAACUACAUUUUUGUUGUUGGUUUUUUUGUUUUGUUUUGUUUUUUGUUUUUUGGUACCAGGUAUUGAGUCCAGAGGGGCUUAACCACUGAGCCACAUCCCCAACCCUUUUUUAUAUUUUAUUUAGAGACAGGGCCUCACUAAGUUGCUGAGGCUGACUGUGAACUCUCGAUCCUGCCUCAACCUCCUGAGCCACUGGGAUUACAAGUGUGUGCCACCACGUGUGACCUGAACUACAUUUGAUUACAAAAAAAAAAAAAAAAAUUUAAAGGGGAGUGUGUAGCUCAGUUGUAGAGUGAUUGCUUACCAUUUAUGAGGCUAUGGGUUCAAUCCCCAGCAGUGGAGGGGGGAGGAAAUAGAUAUAUAUCAAUAAUGCAAUAGUAAGGCUGUUAAACCCAAGAAAUAAAAUACUCCUCUCUUUAAUACUCCAGCCUAAUUAUUUUUCACUUCUUGAGCUAUUUUGCAUGCACUAUGAUAAGUUAUAUACCUCUUCAUCUUUUAAUUGGUAUUCUGAAAUUACCCUUUAAUUGCUUUCCU
rnacentral:lncRNA from 1 species